CGUCCACUGAAAACUUACUGUGCUCAAGGCGCAGAAUGGGGUGGUUUUAUACACAUUCUCCCAUUUGGAUUUUUCAAAGACAACAUCUAAUCAUCCCCAGAGAAACUGCAACUGAGAAGAUAGGAUGGGUGAGAUGGUCCCUAAGUCUGUCCUAGACACAGUUGUCUUUGCAAGUCCUCUGCCAUAGUCAAAGAUGAAGUGCCCUGGGGGCCAGAGUCCAGACAAGUAUUUUGGCACCUCCAAGGCCUGAAAGAACACAGAGAGGAAAAGAGAGACCCUGUUAUCCUUCCGCAGGGGUGGCCAUUCAGCCUCUCAGAGAUGGAAGUUAAGAUUUCCUUUGGUGAAACCCGUGUGGAAACACGAUCUGGGCUGUCUUCCUUGUGGACAUAACAUCACCUUUUGGGGAAAUAAGACUUCAUUCUUCAAAUGCUGAGGAAGAAAAGGGGUUCAUAGGGCAGAGCUAAUACUCAGCUUGCAUGAAGCAGUCCAGCUGGCAGAUGUGAAACAGUGAGAAAGUGGCCAUCUGCAACCCAAGAAGAGAGUUCUUAUCAGACACCAACUCUGCUGGCAUCUUGAUCUUGGACUUCCCAGCCUUCAGAUCAGUGGAAAAACGAAUUUCUAUUGUUCAAGCCCCCAAGUCCAUGGUACUUGGUUAUGGCAGCCUGAGCAGACUAAGAUACCUCCCAUUAAAUAUUAAUUCUCCCUGAAAAUUCCAGCAGUUCAUUUAGUCAUCUUUAGGAUAUGGUAACUUGAAAGAGAUGUUUUUGGUGGCCAUUUGCAGCUUAUCUGUUAUCUGUAAUUACAUAAAAGCAGAUUGCAAGUUUAAAUUUCGAUUGCAUCAAGCCUCUAGGUUCAGUGUAUGUCACCUCUGUCCCCUCUGAACACCUUCUGGAAGAAGGCGUUCCGACUAAAGAGGAAUUCUUCAUCCAACUCCCAGCCAGGGGAUAACCUCAGCCCACAGCCCACAGCCCACAGACAUCUUCCUUCCCCCCAGGCCCUAGAAAAUCUUAAAGCAUGGGUAAAGAAAAAAGGAAAAUCUUCCCAUUGGACAUAUCAUGCCUCGCAUGCCUUGCUAUAUGAAGAUAAACCAAACAAUCAUUUGGGAUAAAUGUAUCCUGGGGUGGGCCAUAGGAAGGAGAGGAGAGACAGAAAAACAAUUUGAGCCAAAUUAUAGUUGUUGCAAAAAUUUGCAUUUGUCCUUAAUUUUCCAUUAACAAACAUUUGGUCUGGCUGUCCAUGAAGGAUAUUUUCCUUUUAUGUGUUCAGAAAUAGGUGAAUGUGUUAUGUAAUAAGUGUUGACAGGACACACAUAAGCCAAGUGAUGUUAGAACUUCCAUUUUGUUUUGUUUUCAGUUUGGAUUUAUUUGAAAUCUCUUGGCUUGAUGAAAAUAUUCUUAAAGAGAAAUUCGCUUAUCUUUCUUUGGGCUUUCUUGUAUUAACCUAAAGAUGACUUUAUUUUACAACCUAUUAGAUAUUUUUCUUGAUAGGGUUCUUCAAUAUUUCUUAUAAAAAUAGUUUAUUAUUAUUCAUUUUUACCUCCUUUUGAAUAGCUUUUGAGAGAUUCCUUAUAUACAUAUGAGAUCUCUUUGGUUAGACUGAAAUUUAUUUCAAUACAUGAUGCAAAGCUAUUUUUAAAGACUUAUUAUUGGAAAAGUCCAAAGAAUAGUUUAUCACAUUGACAUCCUUUGAAAUGUGGGACAGAUCCAAGCCUUCCUAAAUAGUUGAAUAGUUGUUUAAUUUCUCCAUCCCAGUAUUGUUACCCAGUAGGAUUUGCCUAGAGUGCCCUUAUGACACCUGUGCACCUUGGUCUCAAAAAUGACCGGACCACAUCUGGAAGUGAAGGAGCCUUUCUUUGCCAUGCAUGGCAGUCAUUGUUGGAACGAACUACUGAAGGAAUAAGGUUGUUCACUCUCAUUUCCUGAGCCACAGGGCAAGGUUAAUGUGGAAGCUGAAUAAUGUUUCAUGGUCAUGUGGUUUCACUGUAAUAGUUAGGUGCUGAUGUACCCCUUCUCAGCACGAAGCCAAGAUCAUCAAUGGGAAGGACUCUCAUUCUCCAUCAGUGAAGGGAACACUGUUUCCACAUCCCAUUCAGAUUGAACAGAUUUCAUGUGCUCUCUUUUCUCAUUAAAAAAAAUCAAUGAAUGCUCAUUUUAUUUAUAGGCCAUUUAUUCUCUUGGAGAAAACAAAACUGCAGAAUCCUGAUGCUGUGAGGAUGUGGCUUCAGAUGAUGGUGGGUUUUUUGGGAAAGAGCCAGGAGGAUUGUUUCUGGAGGAGAAACGUCAGCAUUUUUCUUGUGGGACUUUAAUUGGAAAUAGGAUGGUGGUUCGGCCUAGAGAAGAGAUCAAAAUGAAACAAGCUGGUGUUUUCAUCCUCGUCCCUUAAUGGACCAUAAUCCUGGUCAUAAAAACCCACCACUUAAACUUUGGCAGUCUUCCUUUCCCAGGAAGCUUUAUUACUAAGUAUUAGCUUGAGU